UAUACUGCAGUCGAGCGAUCGAUGGGAGCUUGCUCCCUGAGAUUAGCGGCGGACGGGUGAGUAACACGUGGGCAACCUGCCUAUAAGACUGGGAUAACUUCGGGAAACCGGAGCUAAUACCGGAUACGUUCUUCUCUCGCAUGAGAGAAGAUGGAAAGACGGUUUACGCUGUCACUUAUAGAUGGGCCCGCGGCGCAUUAGCUAGUUGGUGAGGUAAUGGCUCACCAAGGCGACGAUGCGUAGCCGACCUGAGAGGGUGAUCGGCCACACUGGGACUGAGACACGGCCCAGACUCCUACGGGAGGCAGCAGUAGGGAAUCUUCCGCAAUGGACGAAAGUCUGACGGAGCAACGCCGCGUGAACGAAGAAGGCCUUCGGGUCGUAAAGUUCUGUUGUUAGGGAAGAACAAGUACCAGAGUAACUGCUGGUACCUUGACGGUACCUAACCAGAAAGCCACGGCUAACUACGUGCCAGCAGCCGCGGUAAUACGUAGGUGGCAAGCGUUGUCCGGAAUUAUUGGGCGUAAAGCGCGCGCAGGUGGUUCCUUAAGUCUGAUGUGAAAGCCCACGGCUCAACCGUGGAGGGUCAUUGGAAACUGGGGAACUUGAGUGCAGAAGAGGAAAGUGGAAUUCCAAGUGUAGCGGUGAAAUGCGUAGAGAUUUGGAGGAACACCAGUGGCGAAGGCGACUUUCUGGUCUGUAACUGACACUGAGGCGCGAAAGCGUGGGGAGCAA
rnacentral:rRNA from 1 species